rnacentral:rRNA from 1 species
AGAUUGAACGCUGGCGGCAGGCCUAACACAUGCAAGUCGAGCGGUAGAGAGGUGCUUGCACCUCUUGAGAGCGGCGGACGGGUGAGUAAUGCCUAGGAAUCUGCCUAGUGGUGGGGGAUAACGUUCGGAAACGGACGCUAAUACCGCAUACGUCCUACGGGAGAAAGCGGGGGACCUUCGGGCCUCGCGCUAUCAGAUGAGCCUAGGUCGGAUUAGCUAGUUGGUGAGGUAAAGGCUCACCAAGGCGACGAUCCUUAGCUGGUCUGAGAGGAUGAUCAGCCACACUGGGACUGAGACACGGCCCAGACUCCUACGGGAGGCAGCAGUAGGGAAUAUUGGACAAUGGGACAAAAGCCUGAUCCAGCAAUGCCGCGUGAGUGAU